CCUCGUGUGGUGGAAUUGGUAGACGCGUCGGACUCAAAAUCCGGUGGAGAAAUCCGUGCUGGUUCGAUCCCAGUCACGAGGACCA
rnacentral:tRNA from 1 species